rnacentral:rRNA from 1 species
GACGAACGCUGGCGGCGUGCCUAAUACAUGCAAGUCGAACGCAGUGGGGACGGUUGAGUAACACGUGGGUAACCUCCCAUCAGAGGGGAUAACACUUGGCAACAGGUGCUAAACCGCUACUGAUGGAUGGACCCGCGGUGCAUUAGCUAGUUGGUGGGGUAACGGCCGACCAAGGCCACGAUGCAUAGCUGACCGUAGAGGGUGAGCGGCAACACUGGAACUGAGACACGGCCCAGACUCCUACGGGAGGCAGCAGUAGGGAAUCUUCGGCAAUGGGCGAAAGUCUGACCGAGCAACGCCGCGUGAGUGAAGAAGGUUUUCGGAUCGUAAAGCUCUGUUGUUAGAGAAGCGGUAUCUAACCAGAAAGCCACGGCUAACUACGUGCCAGCAGCCGCGGUAAUUC